ACUGGAAAUGUGGUCAGGAACGUCGGAGAGGCACCCAAAACGUCCACUGAGUGAGAAUCGAGCCACCGGAAGGCAGUAAAACUUCAGGUUAAACCACCAGAAACCCUAGAAGCUGAUAGGUCACCCAAAAUCGACCAAAAAUCAUCAUAAAAUCUUCCAGAAUGUUCGGGAGAAGAAAAUAAACUCCGAUAUCACAAUAAAAGACUCAGAAAAGUCUCCGAUAGGUCGAAAUCUUCAUCGACCGUGAGGUCUCAGAAAUCACCCCCAAAAACCUCGAAACAGACUUCAUCCAAGACCACGAAGCACAUAGAAACAUAGUCGGAUCAUCAUCGAGGCUUUGAUACCAUGUAAACAUUCAUAUUUGACCGAGAAAUCAUAGAAAAUCUAGAGAGCGAAAGUAGAGAGAAGUCAGAGCAUUUCGGAAUUCUCUGGAAGAUGAGAGAUGUUAUUACAGAGAAAAGAAAGAGAAAAUGAAAUGCUCGGUAGGUGAGAAAAAUAUCUCACCUACUUAUAUAAGCUUACAGACGGACGGGUUGGGUCGGGUGAUCCGGCCCAAAAUUAAUUAAUGACAAUUGGGCUCAGUUACAAAUUCAUCACAGCCCAGUUACAAUAUAAUUACAAGGUAUACCAUUGAUAUACUAAAAUUAUACACUGAAUAUACACAAAAAUGUACAAUCAUAUACAAGACUAAAUCAUGUAUCAUCUCUUAUCUCAACACCCCCCCCUCAAGUUGGAGGGGGAGACCACCUGCAACUUGGUGAGCAGCGGAAAAAGUAAAGUGCC
rnacentral:lncRNA from 1 species